ensembl:misc_RNA Metazoa_SRP Metazoan signal recognition particle RNA
GCUGGGCAUGGUGGCUCAUGCCUGUAGUCCUAGCUACUCGGGAGCCUGAGGCAGGAGGAUCGCUUGAGCCCAUGAGUUCAGUGCUGCAGUGAGCUAUGAUCGUGCACUGUACUCCAGCCUGGGCAACAGAGCAAGACCCUGCCUCUA